rnacentral:misc_RNA from 1 species
GUGAAUCAUCAAAUUUUUGAACGCAAAUUGCACUCUCCUCGGAGAGUAUGCCUGUUUGAGGGUCAGCCUAUAAAAAAUCGACAUCGUUGCUGUUUCGCGGUGGCGUUCGUCGGAAAUUGGGUCAUCUUAAAUCUUUUGGUUUUAAGCGACUUAAAAUUUUCUUUUUGGUUCCAGGAACGUUUCUAAGUUUUAUUUCUUUAAUCGUUUAAGGUAUCGAUUUUUUUUAGACUGGACCAUCAUAUGGGAUCGUGCCC